AUACGUAGGUGGCAAGCGUUGUCCGGAAUUAUUGGGCGUAAAGCGCAUGUAGGCGGUGCCUUAAGUCUGUCGUGAAACUGCGGGGCCUAACCCCGUAUGGCGAUGGAAACUGUGGCACUUGAGUGCAGGAGAGGAAAGGGGAACUCCCAGUGUAGCGGUGAAAUGCGUAGAUAUUGGGAAGAACACCGGUGGCGAAGGCGCCUUUCUAGGCUGUCCAUGGCGCUGGGUUGUGAACGGCAGGAUAGAAAAGGGGAUGAGACACCCGGGUAGUCCUGGCUGUAACCGAUGGGUACUAGGUGUGGGAGGUAUCGACCCCUACCGUGCUGGAGUUAACGUAAUAAGUACCCCGCCUGGGGAGUACGGCCGCAAGGCUUAAGCUCAAAUGAAUUGACGGGG
rnacentral:rRNA from 1 species